rnacentral:rRNA from 1 species
CCUACGGGCGGCAGCAGUGGGGGAUAUUGCACAAUGGGGGGAACCCUGAUGCAGCGACGCCGCGUGAGCGAAGAAGUAAUUCGUUAUGUAAAGCUCUAUCAGCAGGGAAGAAAAUGACGGUACCUGAGUAAGAAGCCCCGGCUAACUACGUGCCAGCAGCCGCGGUAAUACGUAGGGGGCAAGCGUUAUCCGGAUUUACUGGGUGUAAAGGGAGCGUAGACGGCAGGGCAAGUCUGGAGUGAAAGGCCGGGGCUCAACCCCCGGACUGCACUGGAAACUGUCCGGCUGGAGUGUAGGAGAGGCAGGUGGAAUUCCUAGUGUAGCGGUGAAAUGCGUAGAUAUUAGGAGGAACACCAGUGGCGAAGGCGGCCUACUGGACGGUAACUGACGUUGAGGCUCGAAAGCGUGGGGAGCAAACAGGAUUAGAUACCCGGGUAGUC